GACGAACGCUGGCGGCGUGCUUAAUACAUGCAAGUCGAGCGAACGGACGCGAAGCUUGCUUCUCUGAUGUUAGCGGCGGACGGGUGAGUAACAUGUGGAUAACCUACCUAUAAGACUGGGAUAACUUCGGGAAACCGUAGCUAAUACCGGAUAAUAUCUUGAACCGCAUGGUUCAAAAGUGAAAGACGGUCUUGCUGUCCCUUCUAGCUGGAUCCGCGCUGCAUUAGCUAGUUGGUACGGUAACGGCUUACCAAGGCAACGAUGCAUAGCCGACCUGCGAGGGUGAUCGGCCACACUGGAACUGAGACGCGGUCCAGACUCCUACGGGAGGCAGCAGUAGGGAAUGGUCCGCAAUGGGCGGAAGCCUGACGGAGCAGCGCCACGCGAGUGAUGAAGGUCUUCGGAUCGGAAAACUCUGUUAUGAGGGAAAAACAUAUUUGGAAGUAACUGUGCACAUCGUGACGGUACCUGAUCAGAAAGCCACGGCUAACUACGUG
rnacentral:rRNA from 1 species